UGAUAUAUCAUGUUAGUUAGGUGGUAAGUAGCCUGGCGGUUAUUACAGGUGUACUGUUGAUAUAUCAUGUUAGUUAGGUGGAAAGUAGCCUAGCGGUUAUUCCAGGUGUACUGUUGAUAUAUGUUAGUUAGGUGGUAAGUAGCCUAGCGGUUAUUACAGGUGUGUUGUUGAUAUAUCAUGUUAGUUAGGUGGUAAGUAGCCUAGCGGUUAUUACAGGUGUGUUGUUGAUAUAUCAUGUUAGUUAGGUGGUAAGUAGCCUAGCGGUUAUUACAGGUGUGUUGUUGAUAUAUCAUGUUAGUUAGGUGGUAAGUAGCCUAGCGGUUAUUACAGGUGUGUUGUUGAUAUAUCAUGUUAGUUAGGUGGUAAGUAGCCUAAUGGUUAUUACAGGUGUGUUGUUGAUAUAUAAAGUUAGUUAGGUGGUAAGUAGCCUAGCGGUUAUUACAGGUGUGCUGUUGAUAUAUCAUGUUAGUUAGGUGGUAAGUAGCCUAGCGGUUAUUACAGGUUUGCUGUUGAUAUAUCAUGUUAGUUAGGUGGUAAGUAGCCUGGCGGUUAUUACAGGUGUGUUGUUGAUAUAUCAUGUUAGUUAGGUGGCAAGUAGCCUAGCGGUUAUUACAGGUGUACUGUUGAUAUAUCAUGUUAGUUAGGUGGUAAGUAGCCUGGCGGUUAUUACAGGUGUGCUGUUGAUAUAUCAUGUUAGUUAGGUGGUAAGUAGCCUAGCGGUUAUUACAGGUGUGUUGUUGAUAUAUCAUGUUAGUUAGGUGGUAAGUAGCCUGGCGGUUAUUACAGGUGUGCUGUUGAUAUAUCAUGUUAGUUAGGUGGUAAGUAGCCUAUCGGUUAUUACAGGCGUUCUGUUGAUAUAUCAUGUUAGUUAGGUGGUAAGUAGCCUGGCGGAUAUUACAGGUGUGCUGUUGAUAUAUCAUGUUAGUUAGGUGGUAAGUAGCCUGGCGGUUAUUACAGGUUUGCUGUUGAUAUAUCAUGUUAGUUAGGUGGUAAGUAGCCUAGCGGUUAUUACAGGUGUGUUGUUGAUAUAUCAUGUUAGUUAGGUGGUAAGUAGCCUAGCGGUUAUUACAGGUGUGUUGUUGAUAUAUCAUGUUAGUUAGGUGGUAAGUAGCCUAGCGGUUAUUACAGGUGUGCUGUUGAUAUAUCAUGUUAGUUAGGUGGUAAGUAGCCUAGCGGUUAUUACAGGUGUGCUGUUUAUAUAUCAUGUUAGUUAGGUGGUAAGUAGCCUGGCGGUUAUUACAGGUGUGCUGUUGAUAUAUCAUCUUAGUUAGGUGGUAAGUAGCCUAGCGGUUAUUACAGGUGUGUUGUUGAUAUAUCAUGUCAGUUAGGUGGUAAGUAGCCUAGCGGUUAUUACAGGUGUGCUGUUGAUAUAUCAUGUUAGUUAGGUGGUAAGUAGCCUAGCGGUUAUUACAGGUGUGUUGUUGAUAUAUCAUGUUAGUUAGGUGGUAAGUAGCCUAGUGGUUAUUACAGGUGUACUGUUCAUAUAUCAUGUUAGUUAGGUGGUAAGUAGCCUGGCGGUUAUUACAGGUGUGCUGUUGAUAUAUCAUGUUAGUUAGGUGGCAAGUAGCCUAGCGGUUAUUACAGGUGUGUUGUUGAUAUAUCAUGUUAGUUAGGUGGUAAGUAGCCUAGCGGUUAUUACAGGUGUGUUGUUGAUAUAUCAUGUUAGUUAGGUGGUAAGUAGCCUAGCGGUUAUUACAGGUGUGCUGUUGAUAUAUGUUAGUUAGGUGGUAAGUAGCCUAGCGGUUAUUACAGGUGUGCUGUUGAUAUAUCAUUUUAGUUAGGUGGUAAGUAGCCUAGCGUUUAUUACAGGUGUGCUGUUGAUAUAUCAUGUUAGUUAGGUGGUAAGUAGCCUAGCGGUUAUUACAGGUGUUCUGUUGAUAUAUCAUGUUAGUUAGGGGGUAAGUAGCCUAGCGGUUAUUACAGGUGUGCUGUUGAUAUAUCAUGUUAGUUAGGUGGUAAGUAGCCUAGCGGUUAUUACAGGUGUGCUGUUGAUAUAUCAUGUUAGUUAGGUGGUAAGUAGCCUAGCGGUUAUUACAGGUGUGCUGUUGAUAUAUCAUGUUAGUUAGGUGGUAAGUAGCCUAGCGGUUAUUACAGGUGUGCUGUUUAUAUAUCAUGUUAGUUAGGUGGUAAGUAGCCUAGCGGUUAUUACAGGUGUGCUGUUGAUAUAUCAUGUUAGUUAGGUGGUAAGUAGCCUAGCGGUUAUUACAGGUGUACUGUUGAUAUAUCAUGUUAGUUAGGUGGUAAGUAGCCUAAUGGUUAUUACAGGUGUGCUGUUGAUAUAUCAUGUUAGUUAGGUGGUAAG